rnacentral:misc_RNA from 1 species
UGUUGCUGAAAUAAGAGGUUCAACCGACUUUUGGAGCUCAACUUCUAGCUCCUUUACUGAAUCGAGCUCCAAAUUAGUUUGUGCUUUACAGUCUGAACCCUUCAUAUCUUCACACUUAGCUGAUGUUUCUCGAGUAUUGAUGCCAGUAGUUUCUUGAACAGAAUCAGAAUUUGUUGUUUGCACUGCUCCAUCAUCUUUGUCACUGGAAAUUUCCUGAGCCCCUUGUGGAGUUUGAGCACAUCCUAAAGCCACAUCAAAUGGCAUAGGUGGAGGAGGUGGCCUGUAUGCAUCAGGGACCGAUGUGUCAAGGUUUGUAUCAACCAACAGUCCCGUGGAGAGGGCAGAAACAGCACCAUGACGAGAUGAUAGUGGGACAUGCUCUUCUGAUGCUCUGGGGUAAUAAUAACAAGCCGGAGCAGUAUUAAGUUCAGCUCCCUUGGAGGAACAACAGCAGCAACCUCCCAUUAUCCUUGUAUAUUAUUUCCAAUAUCCAUCUAAAAUUAUACUCACUUAUGCUGCUACCAGCUAUCCACCAUUAGAGCAAAACGUAUAACUGAAAUGAUUGAGAAUUUGAUAGGAACUGGAACAGGAAUUGGAAUUGAA